rnacentral:tRNA from 1 species
GGCUCCUUAGUCUAAUUGGAUGCGUGACCUCCAGAGGAGGUCGAGCUACGCAUUCGGAGGACGCGCAGCGACGACGGACGCCAGCCUCUCAAGCUGGAGAUGCCGGGUUUCCACAAGGGACUAGGCACUAAGUGCCGUCGCAGCCCCGCAGGAGCUA